rnacentral:piRNA from 1 species
UGGAAAAGAAGUCCUGACAUGAUCUGCUUC